rfam:Anaerovibrio lipolyticus strain 5S contig00256, whole genome shotgun sequence.
GGGGAUGUAAAGGUUUCGACGGGGGUGGCUGGAGUAUGGAUAGCGAGCCGGGGGGUCACCUAGCCCCGUUAGUAAGGUGAAAACGCUUUAAAUAUAAAAGCAAACGAAAACUACGCUUUAGCAGCUUAAUGCUAACCUCUGUCUGCUUAUCUCCCGCGUGAGCGGAUAAGAGGCCAAUAGCGGGAUACCCAAAGGGCUGACUCCUGGAGGCCUGAGGGGAAUUUUCUCCAGGAUCGGAGGGACGGCGGUUGUCUGUGUCUGCCCAUCUCUUAAACUUAAACAUUGACUGCGCUCGGAGAAGUCUAUAUGACAACGCUUUCGGACAGGAGUUCGAUUCUCCUCAUCUCCACCA